GCAACUGAUUCCCUCUGUGGUCAGUAGGAAACAAAGAUGAAAGCUCACAGCUGCAAAGAGGUGAAUUAAAAAGCUGCAAAGGGAGAUCUCCAGGUGAGAGAAACAGGAAGCCAGAGAUGGAGCAGAAGGUGGCCUGGGGACUCUGGAUGUGGGACUACCAUGAGUCUUGGUUGCAGCGGUGUACUGCAGGAACCUGCGCCAACCGACCAGCGGGCAGCUGGGGCCGGAACAGACAGAGAAGGAAUGAAACCUUGCCAUUUGCAACAACGUGGAUGGAACUGGAGGGUAUUAUGCUAAA